rnacentral:rRNA from 1 species
CGUGCAGGCGGGUUGGUAAGUCAGAUGUGAAAGCCCUGGACUCAACCCAGGAAGUGCAUUUGAAACUGCCAUCCUUGAGUAUGGGAGAGGAGAGUGGAAUUCCCAAUGUAGAGGUGAAAUUCGUAGAUAUUGGGAGGAACACCCGUGGCGAAGGCGACUCUCUGGACCAAUACUGACGCUGAGACGCGAAAGCGUGGGGAGCAAACA